rnacentral:scRNA from 1 species
GGGGAGUAUAGUUAACUCGUAAAGUGUAUACCUAACAGGCUCAAGGCAUGGGUUCUAAUCUGAGCUCCACUAGAACAAAAA